GCUGCCCGCCCCUUUGACCUAGACAAUUAUACAAGUACCAACUGCCUGUGCCCAGCCACUGCCACUGGAGGAAAAUGCAACCCUGGCUCCUACUGUCCUGAGGGAAGCCCCGAACCCAUCCCUUGCCCCCCAGGCUCUUAUUGCAAUGCUUCUGGUCUGACCACUACCAGCGGAGAGUGCCAGGCCGGCUAUUACUGUGUAGAGGGUGCAACUGUCCCAGACCCAGAUGAUGGAGUGACCGGAGGCCCCUGUCCUGCAGGGACAUACUGCCCUGCUGGAUCUCACAGACCCAUCCCUUGCCCACCUGGGACAUUUUCCAGUAUCCAUGGGCAGGUAGCAAUUUCCAGUUGCCACCCCUGCCCAUCAGGCUUUUAUUGCAAAGACACUGGUCUCAAAGGCCCAAGUGGGCAGUGCCCAGCAGGUAAGAUGUGGAGAAUGAAUAGCCGACAUAUGAAACCAUGUCAGAUGAAAUGGGAGCUCUUUUUUUGAGGCUCCAUUUUUUUCUGUUUUGUUUUUGCUUGGCACACCACAACCAUGGGUGUCCCAUAGUGCACAGGAGAUCUCAAAGAGAAAAUGGCCUCCAAUAAAUGACCAAGUGAC
rnacentral:lncRNA from 1 species